rnacentral:rRNA from 1 species
AUUGAACGCUGGCGGCAGGCCUAACACAUGCAAGUCGAGCGGUAACACAGGGAGCUUGCUCCCGGGUGACGAGCGGCGGACGGGUGAGUAAUGUCUGGGAAACUGCCUGAUGGAGGGGGAUAACUACUGGAAACGGUAGCUAAUACCGCAUAACGUCACAAGACCAAAGAGGGGGACCUUCGUGACUCUUGCCAUCAGAUGUGCCCAGAUGGGAUUAGCUAGUAGGUGGGGUAAUGGCUCACCUAGGCGACGAUCCCUAGCUGGUCUGAGAGGAUGACCAGCCACACUGGAACUGAGACACGGUCCAGACUCCUACGGGAGGCAGCAGUGGGGAAUAUUGCACAAUGGGCGCAAGCCUGAUGCAGCCAUGCCGCGUGUAUGAAGAAGGCCUUCGGGUUGUAAAGUACUUUCAGCGGGGAGGAAGGUGCUGAGGUUAAUAACCUCAGCGAUUGACGUUACCCGCAGAAGAAGCACCGGCUAACUCCGUGCCAGCCGCCGCCGUAAGAC